UACGUACUCCCUCCGUCCGGAAAUACUUGUCAUCAAAAUGAAUAAAAGGGGAUGUAUCUAGAUGUAUUUUAGUUCUAGAUACAUCCCUUUUUGUCCAUUUUGAUGACAAGUAUUUCCGGACGGAGGGAGUAGCUG
rnacentral:pre_miRNA from 1 species